AUUGAACGCUGGCGGCAUGCCUUACACAUGCAAGUCGAACGGCAGCACGGGAGCAAUCCUGGUGGCGAGUGGCGAACGGGUGAGUAAUAUAUCGGAACGUGCCCAGUCUGGGGGAUAACGUAGCGAAAGCUACGCUAAUACCGCAUACGAUCUAUGGAUGAAAGCGGGGGAUCGCAAGACCUCGCGCGAUUGGAGCGGCCGAUAUCAGAUUAGGUAGUUGGUGNGGUAAAGGGCUUCACCAAGCCGACGAUCUGUAGCUGGUCUGAGAGGACGACCAGCCACACUGGGACUGAGACA
rnacentral:rRNA from 1 species